rnacentral:rRNA from 1 species
GAUGAAUGCUGGCGGCGUGCCUAACACAUGCAAGUCGAGCGGCAGCGCGAGAAGUUUACUUCUUGGCGGCGAGCGGCGGACGGCUGAGUAACGCGUGGGAACGUGCCCCAAAGUGAGGACUAACUGCCCGACAGGGUGGCUAAUGCCGCAUAUGAUCUUCGGAUCAAAGGAUUUAUCCGCUUUGGGAGCGGCCCGCGUUAGAUUAGGUAGUUGGUAGGGGAAUGGCCUACCAAGCCGACGAUCUAUAGCUGGUCUGAGAGGAUGAUCAGCCAGACUGGAACUGAGACACGGUCCAGACUCCUACGGGAGGCAGCAGUGAGGAAUCUUCCACAAUGGGCGAAAGCCUGAUGGAGCAACGCCGCGUGCAGGAUGAAGGCCCUAGGGUCGUAAACUGCUUUUAUAAGUGAAGAAUAUGACGGUAACUUAUGAAUAAGCACCGGCUAACUACGUGCCAGCAGCCGCAGUAA